AACGAACGCUGGCGGCAGGCUUAACACAUGCAAGUCGAGCGCCCUAGCAAUAGGGAGCGGCGCACGGGUGAGUAACGCGUGGGAACGUACCUUUUAGCAGUGAAUAACCAAGGGAAACUUUGGCUAAUGCACUAAACGCCCUUCGGGGGAAAGAUUUAUCGCUAAAAGAUCAGCCCGCGUGAGAUUAGGUAGUUGGUGGGGUAAUGGCCUACCAAGCCUACGAUCUCUAGCUGGUCUGAGAGGAUGAUCAGCCACACUGGAACUGAGACACGGUCCAGACUCCUACGGGAGGCAGCAGUGGGGAAUAUUGGACAAUGGGGGAAACCCUGAUCCAGCCAUGCCGCGUGAGUGAUGAAGGCUUUAGGGUUGUAAAGCUCUUUCGCCGAAGAAGAUAAUGACGGUAGUCGGAGAAGAAGCCCCGGCUAACUUCGUGCCAGCAGCCGCCGUAA
rnacentral:rRNA from 1 species